rnacentral:rRNA from 1 species
AUUGAACGCUGGCGGCGUGCUUUACACAUGCAAGUCGAGCGACAGCAUGAGUGGGUAACCACUUGAUGGUAAGCGGCGAACGGGUGAGUAAUGCAUCGGAACAUGCCUUGUAGUUGGGGAUAACUGACCGAAAGAUGAGCUAAUACCGAAUAAGAUCGUAAGAUGAAAGCUUGGGCUCGUAAGACCAGGCGCUAUAAGAUUGGCCGAUGUUUGAUUAGCUAGUUGGUGAGGUAAGAGCUUACCAAGGCGAUGAUCAAUAGCUGUUCUGAGAGGAAGAUCAGCCACACUGGGACUGAGACACGGCCCAGACUCCUACGGGAGGCAGCAGUGGGGAAUAUUGGACAAUGGGGCAACCCUGAUCCAGCAACGCCGCGUGAAUGAAGAAGGCCUUCGGGUUGUAAAGUUCUUUUGUCCUGGAGCAAAGAUGUAUGUUUAAGAGAUGUGCAUAUGAGAGUACAGGAAGAAUAAGCACCGGCUAACUACGUGCCAGCCGCCGCCGUAA